UACAUAGUAGUGUCUGGGUUGGAGACACUGAUUGUCCAAAGCCAUGUUCUGAUUGGCUGGACCCUUUUGUUGAUGUCACAAAACCGCUCCCAACAGUGCAUGGCUGGGACCUCAUCACCAAAAGGAUCUGGAAAAUCUCUACAGCCCUUGUGUUAAAUGAGCAAAGGAGAUGCUGUGUGAGUCCUCGUACAUUGGGAUUUCAAAGAAUCCAUGGCCUAGGACAGUGUGAUGUGUACCACAGCAACUUGGAGCAAUAGCAGGGAUAGAACUUAGAUCCUUCCUCUCCAAAACCCCAGGUGAAAGAGGAACCUGCUUUUAACUGCUAGCAUUAGAGGACCCGUGACACAGCUGAGAAAUUCUGAUCCAGUAAAGGUGUCUUCUUGAUGGCUCUAGACUGCUAUUUUCAAUUCAUCACUAGGGCAGCAAUCUUGCAAUGGGCAGCUGUUGGGAAGAUGUGUGUCACCCUGGAAGGAAAGAGACAUUGAAAUUGGAUUGCAAUAGCAACUUCUUUAUCUUCUAAAGCCUCCCUAGGAAGGCGGGGAAGAGAAGCGGACUUGGAAGCAGACGACUUCGACACUUGGAUGAUCUCCACAGAGGUGCAUGCAGUGAUCCUGCUCCUGACGCAGCUCUUCUGCCAUGCGGGAAGCCUAAGAGAAGGUGACCACUCUUCUGCUCUCCCUGUCAAUUAUGAAUGGCAUUGACUGGCUACGGGGGAGGGCGUCCAGUCUUUGGUUAGAAGCAUGAUCGUUUCAAUGUUAAGCCUUGAGGAAAGCGGGGACAAAACAGAAGGGGAAAUGGAGGAGCUCCCCAGGAUGCCAUCAGUAAUGCAGAAGAUUCCUUCCCUAGCGGACGGACAAAAGAGAAGUGGAUUUCUCCAAGUCUCCUUUUGCCAUAUUGGUAGACAGCACAUACAUUCUCAUCAAGCACAGCAGACUUUCAAUGCCAGCAGCGGAGCAAACAGUACAACGACCCUGUAUCAACAGCGUGGUAUUUGUUUUCACCUGGACAUUGAUUUCGUUGUGCCUCUCAGUGAUCUCUAA